rnacentral:lncRNA from 1 species
CUGGGAACGCAGGAGCUGGAGGAGAUGGGAAACAAGUUCUGCCUUGGUUUGCUGAUUCUGCACCUCAAAUCCCUGCCCUGCAGCAAGGAGCUGAUGGCUCAGGCAGCACUCCUGCUGGAUCUGGAGGAGGAGAUCACAGACAGGGCACAAAGGUGUCAAUUGAGUCUUGUUCAGGAGGUUGUCCAAGGACUCUUGAUAUGUCAUGCUGGGAAGGUGAUUAAAUCCCUGUCAGGGUAAGUGGGAAUAGUAUUUUUAUUUU